AAAACGCACAUUAAUUAUCCUUAGGGCCAUGGAAUAAACAAAAACCUUGCAAAAACAAGUUAGCACACCCUAGAAUGGUUCUAGCACAAUUACUAACCUAUGGCUUUGAUACUAGUUGAUGGGAAAAACUC
rfam:Vitis vinifera, whole genome shotgun sequence of line PN40024, unoriented chromosome 11, chr11